GCCCUGGUGGCACAGUGGUUAAAUGCCUAUACUGCAGCUACUCACUCACAAACCAUAAGAUUGUGGGUUCAAUACCAGCCAGGGGCU
rnacentral:tRNA from 1 species